rnacentral:lncRNA from 1 species
UGUUGAGGCCCGCAAAACAGUUGAUGAGUUUGCGGGGGUGGUGGAGGGUCUCAACGCACUAGGAGGAAUUGGUGAUGAUUCUAAAAUGUAAAGUUGUCAAGAAAGCCACUGAUUUACAAGUCCCAUGUAUGCUGCCACUAUCGAAUUAUAUUACCUUCCCAGGAAUAUUUCCAACAGUUUGAAAGAUGAUAAGGUUUAUAUCGAUGAGUAGGAGGAAUUAUGACAAAGAUUCAGAGAAAUAUUGACAUCCAUAUUGAGACUCAUUUGAUGGUUUGUUUUAUGGUGAGCAGUUUGAGAAUGUUACCAAAAGCGUGUUAAUAUCAAUGUGAGAAUUACGAAUAAAUCUAUAUGUUGCUGGCCCCAAGAAAACAAAUUAUACCUAUUUCGGAGAUGGUAGAGGCCUCGAAGUUACAAAGAUUCAUCCUACUUUGUUACGUAUUCGAUUCGUAAGUGUGCGUGUUCUAGUGUUGUUAUUUUCGUGAAGAUUUGCUAUGCGAUAGAAUAGUUUGCUCGAUGGAUUUCCCCUCCACCCAGUCUGGUACCUUCCUACCCAUCAACGACGUUUCAUCACGGAGAGGAUGAGGAUCGUGGACAUCCGACGCUGGAUAGAUUAAGGUUUCGGUGAACCCUAGUAAGGUCUAGCCGACGCCUAAAAGUAAGUCACUAAUGAAUAUUGUUUCAAAUAGACCCGAGUGCAAGUUUUUAUAUUUCCAUUUGUAUUUGUAUUUUUUGAUUUUUAUUACUUUGGGGCUAAUUUGAUUUUUGCACCCAAUAAGGUGGCUUACAAACGGUAAGUUAGCGUAUUAUUGGGCUCCUCUGGUGGUCCAUUGCCAUAUUAUCCAAUUGAGUCGCUCCGCGUGCUAGGGACCGACGUGUGCAGGCACGGCGCCUGUAUUACGUCAAACUUUGAUUCUUAAUACUUGGAUUACUUAUGUGAUUAUUAGUUGCUGCCUUAGGUCCUUUACGCCGUAUUAUUAUCUACAAGACAUACCUACCUACCGUAUUUAUUGUUGCUUUUUAGGGAUGUGACGUUAGGACACGGAGAACAUUUAAAAUUGUGAUUACCUUAUUUCAAUGCAUACCUACAUACAUGGUGUUUUGUCCACGCUGUCUUUUCGGGGUUUGGUUCCACGUACACCUACAUAUACCAUAAAUAAUAUUAUUUACACUUUUAUUUUAUGUGUAUGUUUACUUGUCACUCAUUGGGUCUAUUUGAUAUUUUUUCAGCUAGUGUAUUUACAAUAGUGUAGUGAGGAAGGAGGAAGACAGCGAAAAGUGUUGCGCGUCAAGGUAUAGUGCAUUACCUAUACCUUCUUCUGGCAUAACAGUGGCGGCGGCUCGCGAAUCGGUUUAAGGUUGGCGCCAAUUCCAAUUUAUUUAAAUUCAUUAAAUUUUUAAUGUUGCCAGUAAAUUGUUCGUUUUUAAUAACUCAUUUGAUAUUUUGUGAAAUUUUAAUUUGAAAUUAAGGGGAAAAUGAAUAACGUCUCAUCUACCGCAUAAAUAUAGGUACAAAUUUUUCGAAAGGAAAAAAUCGUAUUAUUCAUCUUCUCCUUAAUUUAGUAAAUUUUUAAAACUUCAAUUCAGGGUAUCUGCCGUUAUCAC